AUUCAGCUGACAGUCCUAAAUAGGACGAAACGUGCGUCCUGGAU
rfam:Schistosoma margrebowiei strain Zambia genome assembly, scaffold: SMRZ_contig0000197